rnacentral:rRNA from 1 species
GACGAACGCUGGCGGCGUGCCUAAUACAUGCAAGUCGAACGAACUCUGGUAUUGAUUGGUGCUUGCAUCAUGAUUUACAUUUGAGUGAGUGGCGAACUGGUGAGUAACACGUGGGAAACCUGCCCAGAAGCGGGGGAUAACACCUGGAAACAGAUGCUAAUACCGCAUAACAACUUGGACCGCAUGGUCCGAGCUUGAAAGAUGGCUUCGGCUAUCACUUUUGGAUGUUCCCGCAGCGUAUUAGCUAGAUGGUGGGGUAACGGCUAACCAUGGCACUGAUACGUAGCCGAGCUGGGAGGGUAAUCGGCAACAUUGGGACUGAGACACGGUCCAAACUCGUACGGGAGGCAGCAGUAGGGAAUCUUCCACACUGGACGAAAGUCUGAUGUAGCAACGCCGCGUGAGUGAAGAAGGGUUUCGGCUCGUAAAACUCUGUUGUUAAAGAAGAACAUAUCUGAGAGUAACUGUUCAGGUAUUGACGGUAUUUAACCAGAAAGCCACGGCUAACUACGUGCCAGCCGCCGCAGUAA